rnacentral:rRNA from 1 species
ACUCCUACGGGAGGCAGCAGUAGGGAAUCUUCCACAAUGGACGAAAGUCUGAUGGAGCAACGCCGCGUGAGUGAAGAAGGGUUUCGGCUCGUAAAACUCUGUUGUUAAAGAAAGAACAUAUCUGAGAGUAACUGUUCAGGUAUUGACGGUAUUUAACCAGAAAGCCACGGCUAACUACGUGCCAGCAGCCGCGGUAAUACGUAGGUGGCAAGCGUUGUCCGGAUUUAUUGGGCGUAAAGCGAGCGCAGGCGGUUUUUAAGUCUUGAUGUGAAAGCCUUCGGCUCAACCGAAGAAGUGCAUCGGAAACUGGGAAACUUGAGUGCAGAAGAGGACAGUGGAACUCCAUGUGUAGCGGUGAAAUGCGUAGAUAUAUGGAAGAACACCAGUGGCGAAGGCGGCUGUCUGGUCUGUAACUGACGCUGAGGCUCGAAAGUAUGGGUAGCAAACAGGAUUAGAUACCCUGGUAGGAUAGC